ensembl:sense_intronic Gm26978 predicted gene, 26978
GGAGGACAGACCACACUGUGGCCAAACAGGAAAGCCUUCCAUCUGACUCAGGGUGGGGAUGUAAUGGGAAAGGCUGCGGAUUUACAGAAAGAGGAUGAAGCGCCACAGACAGACCCACGCUCUGGAAAUGCCCGGGAUGAGUGAGAGGUCCUCUGAGGUUGCUUGAUCAUUAUGAAUGUCAAACACUAGCAACUAUGCUCACUGAUUUUCUUAAGGAAGCGUUGGAAUGUUUAAAACCUCAGGAACUUUUAUGUGCUGUUGAUGGGACUGUAAGGAAAAGGUUAUGUCCCUGCUUCAAAAA